GAAGGUAUAGCUCAGUGGUAGAGCACUUACCUGGCAUGUGUGGGGCUCUGGGUUCCAUCCCCAGUUCUGCCA
rfam:Fukomys damarensis contig89400, whole genome shotgun sequence.